rnacentral:rRNA from 1 species
UGGGGAAUAUUGCACAAUGGGGGAAACCCUGAUGCAGCCAUGCCGCGUGUGUGAAGAAGGCCUUCGGGUUGUAAAGCACUUUCAGCGAGGAGGAAAGGUUGAUGCCUAAUACGUAUCAACUGUGACGUUACUCGCAGAAGAAGCACCGGCUAACUCCGUGCCAGCAGCCGCGGUAAUACGGAGGGUGCAAGCGUUAAUCGGAAUUACUGGGCGUAAAGCGCACGCAGGCGGUUGGAUAAAUUAGAUGUGAAAGCCCCGGGCUCAACCUGGGAAUUGCAUUUAAAACUGUCCAGCUAGAGUCUUGUAGAGGGGGGUAGAAUUCCAGGUGUAGCGGUGAAAUGCGUAGAGAUCUGGAGGAAUACCGGUGGCGAAGGCGGCCCCCUGGACAAAGACUGACGCUCAGGUGCGAAAGCGUGGGGAGCAAACA